rnacentral:tRNA from 1 species
GUGGGUGUAGCUCAGUUGGUUAGAGCGUCAGAUUGUGGUUCUGAAUGCCGAGGGUUCGAAUCCCUUCACCCACCCA